UCCUCGUUAGUAUAGUGGACAGUAUCUCCGCCUGUCACGCGGAAGACCGGGGUUCGAUUCCCCGGCGGAGAA
rnacentral:tRNA from 1 species